rnacentral:snoRNA from 1 species
GCUGGGACCAGUUGGGACCAGUCGUGGGCAGAAGAAAGAUGUUUUGUCCACUGUUGCAGACUUCCUAGAGUGAAGUGGAGGUCUCUGUCUGCUUUGGGAGAGCCAACCAAACUGGAUCGUUCCCCUCCAUACACG